AGCAACAAAAGGACCUACACUUUCCUUGAAACCACCAUGAGUGUUAGGCUCAUCUCUGCUGUGUAUCUAUGUUUCCUGGGAAUAGGCUGUGUGGACACAAAAGUAAUGCAGAUGCCAAGAUACCAGAUCAAAAGAAUGGGAGAUAAUGUUUUGCUGGAAUGUGUACAGGACAUGGGCCAUGAAAGGAUGUACUGGUAUCGUCAAGACCCCGGUCUGGAGCUACAGCUGAUUUAUUUCUCAUAUGAUGUUGAUAGCAACAGUGAAGGAGACAUCUCUGAGGGGUACAGGGUCUCACGAAAGAAGCGGGAGCAUUUCUCCCUGAUUCUGGAGUCUGCUAAAACACACCAGACAUCUUUGUACUUCUGUGCCAGCAGUUUAUCCACAGCUCUACACAGCCACAUCCUUUCUGCACAAAAAUAG